rnacentral:rRNA from 1 species
AGGGCUCGCAGGCGGUUUUCUAAGUUCUGAGGUGAAAGCCCCCGGCUCAACCGGGGAGGGUCAUUGGAAACUGGGGAACUUGAGUGCAGAAGAGGAGAGUGGAAUUCCACGUGUAGCGGUGAAAUGCGUAGAGAUGUGGAGGAACACCAGUGGCGAAGGCGACUCUCUGGUCUGUAACUGACGCUGAGGAGCGAAAGCGUGGGGAGCGAACAGGAUUAGAUACCCUGGUAGUCCACGCCGUAAACGAUGAGUGCUAAGUGUUAGGGGGUUUCCGCCCCUUAGUGCUGCAGCUAACGCAUUAAGCACUCCGCCUGGGGAGUACGGUCGCAAGACUGAAACUCAAAGGAAUUGACGGGGGCCCGCACAAGCGGUGGAGCAUGUGGUUUAAUUCGAAGCAACGCGAAGAACCUUACCAGGUCUUGACAUCCUCUGACAAUCCUAGAGAUAGGACGUCCCCUUCGGGGGCAGAGUGACAGGUGGUGCAUGGUUGUCGUCAGCUCGUGUCGUGAGAUGUUGGGUUAAGUCCCGCAACGAGCGCAACCCUUGAUCUUAGUUGCCAGCAUUCAGUUGGGCACUCUAAGGUGACUGCCGGUGACAAACCGGAGGAAGGUGGGGAUGACGUCAAAUCAUCAUGCCCCUUAUGACCUGGGCUACACACGUGCUACAAUGGACAGAACAAAGGGC